rnacentral:rRNA from 1 species
GACGAACGCUGGCGGCGUGCUUAACACAUGCAAGUCGAACGGAAAGGCCCUGCUUUUGUGGGGUGCUCGAGUGGCGAACGGGUGAGUAACACGUGAGUAACCUGCCCUUGACUUUGGGAUAACUUCAGGAAACUGGGGCUAAUACCUGAUAGGAGCUCCUGCUGCAUGGUGGGGGUUGGAAAGUUUCGGCGGUUGGGGAUGGACUCGCGGCUUAUCAGCUUGUUGGUGGGGUAGUGGCUUACCAAGGCUUUGACGGGUAGCCGGCCUGAGGGGGUGACCGGCCACAUUGGGACUGAGAUACGGCCCAGACUCCUACGGGAGGCAGCAGUGGGGAAUAUUGCACAAUGGGCGGAAGCCUGAUGCAGCAACGCCGCGUGCGGGAUGACGGCCUUCGGGUUGUAAACCGCUUUCGCCUGUGACGAAGCGUGAGUGACGGUAAUGGGUAAAGAAGCACCGGCUAACUACGUG